rnacentral:rRNA from 1 species
GAUGAACGCUGGCGGCGUGCCUAAUACAUGCAAGUCGAGCGAACAGACGAGGAGCUUGCUCCUCUGACGUUAGCGGCGGACGGGUGAGUAACACGUGGAUAACCUACCUAUAAGACUGGGAUAACUUCGGGAAACCGGAGCUAAUACCGGAUAAUAUAUUGAACCGCAUGGUUCAAUAGUGAAAGACGGUUUUGCUGUCACUUAUAGAUGGAUCCGCGCCGCAUUAGCUAGUUGGUAAGGUAACGGCUUACCAAGGCAACGAUGCGUAGCCGACCUGAGAGGGUGAUCGGCCACACUGGAACUGAGACACGGUCCAGACUCCUACGGGAGGCAGCAGUAGGGAAUCUUCCGCAAUGGGCGAAAGCCUGACGGUGCAACGCCGCGUGAGUGAUGAAGGUCUUCGGAUCGUAAAACUCUGUUAUUAGGGAAGAACAUAUGUGUAAGUAACUGUGCACAUCUUGACGGUACCUAAUCAGAAAGCCACGGCUAACUACGUG